CCACUCAGCGGGGCCCAAAUUUGCAUGAGGGCAAACCACGAGAGGAGACUUGGCCAGGCUGGAAAAACCCCAACACAAAGUCGAAACAGAUGCUUGCCAGAGGCUUGACUCAUUCCAGUCACAACUGUGCAGGAGCAAAGGCAGUGCCACAGUGCAUUCGUCACCUGCUAGCCCGGAGGGGCCUUUCCAAGCCCACCGGGGCCGGCUGGGGCGCAUGAGGAUAUGUCUGCAGUAGGGGCAGUGUUGAUGUUUUUAGCCCGAUUCAUAAGAGAAAUCUGGGUGGCCAGAUUCCAAGCCGGGAUGUGUGUUCACUUAAGGAAGAAAGCUCCUUUAAAGGAACACGGGGCACUGUUCUACCCUGGAAGACCAGUGUCCCAGGCACUCACCUGAUCAAACUAAUCUGUCGGGAAAUCCUUUACUCACCGUGUACACCUCUGCUCCUGGGGGAAGCGGUGUGGCUUAGUGGCUAGGGAGCGGGCAUAGGCAUCAGCUCAGCCCCAGCCCUGCUGUAGCAUGUUGGGCGAGCUGCUCUUUGUGGCACGGACUGUGCCUCGGUCUGUGUCAGUGAUCUCAGU